GACGAACGCUGGCGGCGUGCUUAACACAUGCAAGUCGAGCGGUAAGGCCCUUUCGGGGUACGACGAGCGGCGAACGGGUGAGUAACACGUGGGUGACCUCGCCCUCCAGCUCUGGGAGUAAGCCUGGGAAACCGGGUCUAAUACUGGAUAUGACUCCAUGACGCAUGUUGUGGGGUGGAAAGCCUUGUGCGGCUGAGGAUGGGCCCGCGGCCUAUCAGCUUGUUGGUGGGGUGANGGCCUACCAAGGCGACGACGGGUAGCCGGCCUGAGA
rnacentral:rRNA from 1 species